rnacentral:piRNA from 2 species
CCUGGGAACACCACGUGAUGUUGGCUU